rnacentral:rRNA from 1 species
AACGAACGCUGGCGGCAUGCCUAACACAUGCAAGUCGAACGAGACCUUCGGGUCUAGUGGCGCACGGGUGCGUAACGCGUGGGAACCUGCCCUUAGGUUCGGAAUAACUCCCCGAAAGGGGUGCUAAUACCGGAUAAUGUCUUCGGCCCAAAGAUUUAUCGCCUUGGGAUGGGCCCGCGUUGGAUUAGCUAGUUGGUAGGGUAAAAGCCUACCAAGGCGACGAUCCAUAGCUGGUCUGAGAGGAUGAUCAGCCACACUGGGACUGAGACACGGCCCAGACUCCUACGGGAGGCAGCAGUGGGGAAUAUUGGACAAUGGGCGAAAGCCUGAUCCAGCAAUGCCGCGUGAGUGAUGAAGGCCUUAGGGUUGUAAAGCUCUUUUACCCGGGAUGAUAAUGACAGUACCGGGAGAAUAAGCUCCGGCUAACUCCGUG